rnacentral:rRNA from 1 species
CCCCAUUGGGAUGGAGACAAGGCCCAGAUUCUAGGGGGGCAGCAGUGGGAAUUUGGACAUGGGCGCAAGCUUGAUCCAGCCAUGCGCGUGUCUGAAGAAGGCUCUUCGGGUUGUAAAGGACUUUUGUCAGGGAAGAAAAGGGCGGGGUUAAUACCCCUGUCUGAUGACGGUACCUGAAGAAUAAGCACCGGCUAACUACGUGCCAGCAGCCGCGGUAAUACGUAGGGUGCGAGCGUUAAUCGGAAUUACUGGGCGUAAAGCGGGCGCAGACGGUUACUUAAGCAGGAUGUGAAAUCCCCGGGCUCAACCUGGGAACUGCGUUCUGAACUGGGUGACUAGAGUGUGUCAGAGGGAGGUAGAAUUCCACGUGUAGCAGUGAAAUGCGUAGAGAUGUGGAGGAAUACCGAUGGCGAAGGCAGCCUCCUGGGAUAACACUGACGUUCAUGCCCGAAAGCGUGGGUAGCAAACAGGAUUAGAUACCCUGGUAGUCCACGCCCUAAACGAUGUCGAUUAGCUGUUGGGCAGCAUGACUGCUUAGUAGCGAAGCUAACGCGUGAAAUCGACCGCCUGGGGAGUACGGUCGCAAGAUUAAAACUCAAAGGAAUUGACGGGGACCCGCACAAGCGGUGGAUGAUGUGGAUUAAUUCGAUGCAACGCGAAGAACCUUACCUGGUCUUGACAUGUACGGAACCCUCCAGAGACGGAGGGGUGCCUUCGGGAGCCGUAACACAGGUGCUGCAUGGCUGUCGUCAGCUCGUGUCGUGAGAUGUUGGGUUAAGUCCCGCAACGAGCGCAACCCUUGUCAUUAGUUGCCAUCAUUAAGUUGGGCACUCUAAUGAGACUGCCGGUGACAAGCCGGAGGAAGGUGGGGAUGACGUCAAGUCCUCAUGGCCCUUAUGACCAGGGCUUCACACGUCAUACAAUGGUCGGUACAGAGGGUAGCCAAGCCGCGAGGUGGAGCCAAUCUCACAAAACCGAUCGUAGUCCGGAUUGCACUCUGCAACUCGAGUGCAUGAAGUCGGAAUCGCUAGUAAUCGCAGGUCAGCAUACUGCGGUGAAUACGUUCCCGGGUCUUGUACACACCGCCCGUC